GAGAAACGAAGAAGAUCAGAGAUCAUACGAGACAGAACACAAAGAGGAAUCGAGAAA
rnacentral:sRNA from 1 species